GACGAACGCUGGCGGCGUGCUUAACACAUGCAAGUCGAACGGAAAGGCCCUGCUUUUGUGGGGUGCUCGAUUGGCGAACGGGUGAGUAACACGUGAGUAACCUGCCCUUGACUUUGGGAUAACUUCAGGAAACUGGGGCUAAUACCGGAUAGGAGCUCCUGCUGCAUGGUGGGGGUUGGAAAGUUUCGGCGGUUGGGGAUGGACUCGCGGCUUAUCCGCUUGUUGGUGUGGUAGUGGCUUACCAAGGCUUUGACGGGUAGCCGGCCUGAGAGGGUGACCGGCCACAUUAGGACUAAGAUACGGCGCAGACGCCUACGGGAGGCAGCAGUGGGGAAUAUGGCACAAUGGGCGGAAGCCUGAUGCGGAAGCGCCGCGUGCGGGAUGACGGCCUUCGGGUUGUAAACCGCUUUCGCCUGUGACGAAGCGUGAGUGACGGUAAUGGGUAAAGAAGCACCGGCUAACUACGUG
rnacentral:rRNA from 1 species